GGUGGUAUAGUAUAAUAGCUAAGCGCUUGGACGCUGAAGCCAGAGUUCCCGGGUUCAAGUCCUGGUUCUACCA
rnacentral:tRNA from 1 species